rnacentral:rRNA from 1 species
UGGGGAAUAUUGGACAAUGGGCGAAAGCCUGAUCCAGCCAUGCCGCGUGUGUGAAGAAGGUCUUCGGAUUGUAAAGCACUUUAAGUUGGGAGGAAGGGCAGUAAGCGAAUACCUUGCUGUUUUGACGUUACCGACAGAAUAAGCACCGGCUAACUCUGUGCCAGCAGCCGCGGUAAUACAGAGGGUGCAAGCGUUAAUCGGAAUUACUGGGCGUAAAGCGCGCGUAGGUGGUUCGUUAAGUUGAAUGUGAAAGCCCCGGGCUCAACCUGGGAACUGCAUCCACAACUGGCGAGCUAGAGUAGGGCAGAGGGUGGUGGAAUUUCCUGUGUAGCGGUGAAAUGCGUAGAUAUAGGAAGGAACACCAGUGGCGAAGGCGACCACCUGGGCUCAUACUGACACUGAGGUGCGAAAGCGGGGGGAGCAAACAGG